GAACAAUCAAAACGCCACAAAAAUAUGCUUUGGGGAUUUGGGUUUCCCAUGCAAAUGAGGUCUAUGGAUUAUGUCUCUAAAGUUUCAAAUAAAUACCCUUGCUGACUUUUAACUUUGUGUGCUUGGUGAACUUCAAACACACGAGUCUCAACAAUGACUGUAAUGCACUAAUGUCCUGAUGGGAACUAUUAAAGGCGCAAAUGCUUCUUGAAUUUGUGUGUGUGCGUGCGUGCGUGUAUGUGUGUGUGCGCCCACUUUGAUAGUCUAAAUAAUGACCCUCUUCCUUCUCUCGGUGUAAUCAGUUCCACAUGCUAUUUGAGUCUGCUGUCCACUUAGCUGCCCGAGCAGAAAAAGCCCAAAUUUAGAAGAAAUAUGAAAAAUGUCAAACGUUUUUUCCUCAUUGACUGAAUGAACUAUAUCCCCUCUAAACUCACUCCUCCUUCUUUUCAUAUAUUUUCCCUCCUCACAUUUCUUCUCACAUUCUAUGUUUUUUCAACUCCUGUCUCUUCCCAGUCCUCCUCUAACCCCCCAUUAACCUCUUCGUCUCUGCUUUUCUCCCAGUCGUCCUCGGUCUUUUCCCAGACAAGCUUCGCAGGUCACCAGUCGAAGGCUCUUGGGUCUUCUGACAUCAGCACCAUCCGUCAUGUGGAGAGGGGCCAUUCUCUGGCGCAGGACCCGCCCUCCAGUGACCAUACAAGGUAACAGAGGAAUGUUGGCUUGAAAGUUCAUCUGCUUCAUAAAGACAACACAAAGAGGCCAGAGGGGUCCCACACUGAUGCUGAUCAGUGUUUUCGGGGAGCGUUCAAAGAAACAGACGAGACCUCCUCUCAGAGACCUGACGAGUGACCAUGACGUGACAUCUUCCAACAAGAUAGAUGAUGGAAGGAGAUUUCCGAGAGGUGAGACACACGCACACACAGAGCCAGUCGCCGCAUUAAAGUCACGGUACCAUCUCAGAAAAGGUGUGAGGAACGUCACGGCAACCGCAGUCGAGGAAUGUACUUGAGAAAAGGGUUGCCACGGAGAUGAGGCGAUGCCGCUCACUGAUGGACACUUCACUCUGGCUUGGGUAAGGCUUGUGACUUGGGAGACAUUUUCUAAUACAGUGCAAUCAUAGGCCACAACAUUAGGCUUGAACAAAAGCUUUAUCUGCCUUUUCAAAAUGACCAAUGCUCAGUUUUCUUUGCCACUGACAGAGAAGUAUUCAUUUACUUUAGCAGGUGUUUAGGUGUCGAUGUUAUGGAUCAUUUUCAUAUAAUUUGAUCGGUAAAGACAUUUGUGUAAAAAAAAUAAAAAUAAUAUUUUAGCCAUUUUUUUAUGCUGCCUUGCUUUUAUAUGGGUUAAUGUCUCCCAUGCGGAAACGGCCACACUUAAAGUCCUAUUUUGAAAAACGUAUUGAUGAUUUAAAAUUUGAAGCAUUCAUAGUAAAGGCAAUCCUCAUUGACAGAGCAAAUGGUGGUGGCCCAAUUAUCAUACACUUCUUACAUAACAGUAGAGACAUAAACAGCUUCAUAGAAAUUGUGCGAGUUGCGCAAUGUAUGUGUUGACCUUCAAACUCUGCAGAUACAAGUGCCGAAAUGAUCCUAACUACUCAUUACACCGAUAACACUCUUGUCGUUAUACAAUCAUAAUAACAGCAAAGACAUGCAAUAGUUCCGACACUUUCACAAAUGUAUACAUAUCUCAGAAAUAAUCAUUCAUUUUGCUGUCCGCUAUUGUGUGAAUUUUUAAGAUGUCAAAAUAUCCUCCCAGCAUUUGUGCAAGAUCAUCUCAAACGUUGUAUAUGCGUGUGGAGGUAUCCGAGUGUGUAACAUGAGAGGGAACAGCACAGGAAGUUUGAAUUAUGUCCGCAGAGGGUUAAUGUCAUUUCCUGUUUACCGCUCUCAUGUAAAAGUGUGUUUGCAGGACUCCCUCUCUCUCUCUCUCUCUCUCUCUCUCUCCCUCUCCCUCCCUGCGGCCCAUGGUGCAGUGCUGCAUCUCUGGUCAGUUGGUAGUCUGAGAUGAAGCACUGUAGCUCGGGACGGAGGACUGCUUCACAGGCCUCAUGGACUACUUUAAGAACUAAAGGGCAACAAAGAGAGUAUAAGAGUAGCGACAUUUAGAAAGUUUACAGGUGCAUCGCAAAUAUAGUUCACUUUUAGAAUUGAACUAUUGAAAUAAAUGAACUUUUCCCUGAUAGAUAUCUCAAAUUUCUUUCUUCCUUUUUUUUUUUGUCAAUUAAAAUUUUAUUUACUGCAUAAUUUGUCCCUUGCCAUUUAUUCCAUGGAAAGAAUGUAGUCUGGAAUUUUCCAUGCCCCCCCCCCCCAAUUCUCCUCUCUCCUGGGGUCCAGUUUUCCCAGGAAUCCCUUGACCUGUCCAAAAGGGGGAUUCCUGGAAAUACUGUUCUUAGGGGCGAGGCCAAGCGACAAUUGUGCGAGAGCCGAAGGCUUAUAAAAUAUUAGUGUCAAAAUCAAAUCAAGGUCAAAUCAAGUGUACGCCCUUCAACCAGAGGGUCGCCCGGUCGUAGCCCCGCCUGAGCGCAUGUCGUCAUUGUGUCCCUGGGUAAGACACUUAACCCACAUUGCCUACGAAUGAAUGCGGUUGGAUGUUUGGUGGUGGUGGGAGGGGCCGUAGGCACAGAAUGGCAGCCACGCUUCCGUCAGACUGCACAAGUAGCUUACCACCACUAGGGUGUGACUGUGGAGAGAAUGAAUAAUGUAUAUAAGGGAUAUGCACUGUUAUAUUUUAUAUGUUUUAUGGCGAGGUUGUUAGAAUACACUGUAUAAUAAACCACACUAUGAUGAA